ACCCAUGCGGGCCAAUGAAAUCACGGAUCGCUUUCGGAUUUUGUCAGUCGGCAUCGUCGAAAUAAUUGGCGGGACUGUUGAUGUGGUUUGCUAACCUCACUUUCAAUUUUAAGCUUUGAACUUUGAGUUUUUGAAACGUUUUGUUGUUUAUUUACAAUUUGUGCGACGAAGAGUAAUUAUUACUAAUUACAUUAUCUUGUUUCCUUGUAAAUUCAAAACACCACUGUAUAUUUACAUUAAUUUACUACACCUUUAUUCGGUGAACAUAGAUAUAAACAGGAAUUUGGCAGAGUUUGAAAUUUGGAGGUCUGCAGAAAACAGAGAGGUAGAUUAUGCUGUUCAUCGAAGAAAGAAAUGUGCUAAUGGGGAAGAAUUUAUUUACUAUAAUUGUAAUAGAAGUGAUUCAAAAGGAUAUGUCAGUACAUGUUUGCAACGGAAUUUAAAGUCUAAAGGAAGCAUUCGUAUGCAAGGAAUUUGUCCAUCAAGAAUAAUAGUUAAAAUUCUAGUAGAUGGAGUGAUUAGAGUAAGAUUUUUUGAAACCCACAUAGGACACCCUGACGAAUUAAGAAGCAAAAGGCUAACAAAAUCGGAACAGGAGAUAAUUGUGGAUAAAUUAGCAGCAGGAGUUUCAAACAAGAGAAUUAUUCAGGAGGCCAGAAGCGAGGACGACAAUAAACUACAAAGGAAAAAUUGUAUAACAAGAGGAGAUUUAGAGUACCUAAUACGAAAAUUUAAUAUUGGCAAGAAAAAGGACAGUGAUGAUAUGAUAGCCACAGUGUUAAAAAUUCAGGAAUGGAACAGUGAUGGAAAAAAUCAUGAUUUUUUAUUUAAACAGAUAGGAGAAACUUAUCCAGGAUUAGAAGAAGAUGAUUUUGCAGUUGGAUAUAUGAAUGCUAUUAUGGAAAAAAAAUUAAGAGAUUUUCCAAAAAUAAUCUGUAUAGAUGGAACUCAUGGAACAAAUAGGAGAAACUGGGACUUGACAAUUGUGUUAAUAAGAGAUGAACAAAAUAUGGGUUUUCCAGUGGCAUUCUUACUAAGUAACAGAUUAGAUCAAUUAAUUCAAGAGGUUUUUUUAGGGCACUUAAAACUAGAUUAGGGGAAGCAGUUCAAGCUGAAUAUAUAAUGAGUGAUGACGAUCCAAAAUAUUACAAUGCAUGGAUAAUGGCUAUGGAUGCAGAACAUAAACCAAGAAGAUUACUUUGUACCUGGCAUAUAGUGAAAAAUUGGAACAUACAAGGAAGGUCUAAAAUCAAGAAGUUGGAAAAUAUACAGAUAAUGAAACAUGAAAUGAGGAAAAUUUUAAAGGAGACUGAUCCAAAAAAAUUUAUACAGCUGAAAGAGAACUAUUUUAGGCAAUUAGAAGAAGAGGAGGAAACUAAUUUUCAGAAUUACCUGAAAAAGUACUAUUUCCAAAGUCAAGACAGAAUAAUGAUGUGGGCACAUUGUUAUAGAAUCAAUGCCGGAAUUAGGGUCAAUUGGGGUAAUUGUAGACACAUCUAAAAUAAGAAACACAACAACAUUUAGAUUUCAAAUUUGACGCGAAGCUCACUAUUCGAGUCGUGCCGACGUCGUGCGAACUCGAUUUCCCUCGAAAUUUUACUCCUGUUUGUGCUCUUCUUGAAAUAGUUGGCUGAUGCAAUUUGAUGUGUUUGGUGGUUUUAUGUUGAAUUUCGGCACUGAAGUUUUCGAAUGCAAAUCAUCGAGUGUAAAGAUACCUCGUACUUAUAUAAGGAAAAAAGAAGCACCUUCUUAUACAACUGAAGAUGUUGCGAAUGCCGUUGCAGAUGUCCAAAAUAAAAAUAAAACGUAUAGUCAAGCAGAAACGUUCUAUGGUGUUCCCAGAUCAGUUAUUUACCAAAGGAUAGGAGGAAGAAAGACUCCAUUAAAUGUGACAAAGGGUGGACUUUCCCAAGUUUUAUCCUCAGAUAUCGAAAAUGAAAUAGUGAAAUGUUUAUUGGCACGUACUGCGAUGGGUAUACCAUGUGACAAAGCAGAACUUACACAACUGGUUGGAGAGUAUGUUAAUGCAAAAGGUUUAAGAACACCAUUUAAAAAUGGAGUACCAGGAGAAGACUGAUACUACUCAUUCAUGAGAAGAUAUCCUGAACUGUCUCUUAAGAAACCGGAACAUUUGCAAAAACUGCGGAAGGAUGCUAGAAAACCUGAGAUCGUCCCAUUUUUUUGAUGACCUGAAAAGAAUCAUUGAUGAAAAUAAUUAAGAUGAUAAAGGAAGCUUUAUUUUUAAUGCUGAUGAGUCAGGUUUUAAUAAUGAUCCCUAUCGUAUUAGGGCAAUUGGAGAGAAAAGAAAGACCCUGUGCCGGAUAUCUGGAGGCUCUGGAAGAGAGUCGACGACAGUCUUAGGAUGUUUUUCUGCCGAUGGAAAAGCACUUCCACCGCUCAUCGUAUUCAAGGGAGUUCAGGCUCGUUAGACUUCCCAUAGCGCCUAUCCAGGAGCUCUAUAUGCGACCUCCACUAAUGGAUGGAUGGAGGAGCCGCAAUUUUUCCAGUGGUUUACGACAGGGUUUAUACCUCAUAUUAAAGAUUUAAGAACUUCCCAAAACCUUCUAGAUCAAGCAGCUCUACUGUCGUAUGAUAGUCACAGCAGUCAUAUUAUGAGCGUCAGAAUUAUUGAAGAGGCAAUGCACAACAAUAUUAUUUUGAUAAAGUUUCCAAGCCAUCUUACGGAUAAGCUUCAGCCUUUCGACAAGUGUGUCUUUGGACCCUUAAAGGUGAACUGGAAUAAACAAUUGGUGAAGUUUGGUAAGGAACAAAUGGGACAAGGGUGUGGACGGCUAACUAAGAAAAAGUUUUUUUUUACUUGGCAUUACUUGGCAAGAGUCUAUGGUUUCUAGCAAUAUUAUAUCUGGAUUUAAAAAUACUGGCGUAUACCCAGUUGAUCGAAACAAAUUCCCACAAAAUGAAUUUACACCAGAAGACUUGGCCAAAUACGAAGCUGCCCUCAGAGCUCCGAAAUCUGUAACAUCCGAUGCUAUUAUUAUCCAACCAGUAUCCUCCAAAUCAACUGUUGUUGCAAUUUCUGAACCAAACCCACUUCUACCCACGGUCGACGAUCAAAUGCCUUCAACUUCAUCAUGUUGUAGUCAACAUCAUUCAGUGUCAUCUACUGAAAGCCGACAGCAGCCUUCUACAUCGUCAACUGAUUACCAAAAAUUAGUAGUGGCAUUUACCCAUAGUCCACAACCAUCGACGUCAUCGUCUAUCAGUAAAUCGACAGAAAUUACCAACAUUUUCUUGCCACUCAGCCGCCGUGAAGAUAUUGUUGAAGAGAAAAAACAUGUCAUACCGAGAUUAAAGCAACAAAGAUAUGGAGAGGUAUUAACAACCAACCAAGUCUUGGAAAGACUAAGAGAAGCAGAAGAGAAGAAGAAAAAUAAAGGAAAAAAAAGGCUAAUCCGAAAACGGACAAUAAAAAGUUAGAGCCGAAAUUGAAAAAAAUGAGAAGUGAACCAGUUGCAGAGUCGGAAAGUUCUAAUGGAGAAAUAAGUCUAGGUGAUACUGAUGAUGAAAUAGAUUGGGUAGAACCGGAAAAACAAGAUAUAGAGCUUAAAACAGUCGAGAGUUCAGACUUGUCCAUAGGGAAAUUUAUUCUUGUGCAGUUCAAAGGUGGAAAGAGAAAGACUACUCUUUUUAAAUAUGUGUGUUUAAUUGAAGCUGUGGAUGAAAAAUUAACGGAAAUCAAAGUAACUGGUCUUAAAUCCUGGGAUGCAUCAAAAAUUCUUUUUAACAUUGUUGAAACUGACGUCAGUUAUAUAACCUUGAAUCAAAUCAUUGGUGUGCUUCCCGAUCCUGGCAUUUAAAUGAAGGGAGAAAGAAUACUAUACAACUUUCCAGCAAUAGUUAAAAUAAACAGAACUGUUGGAAAAUUUUACUUUUAUCUCGAUUUUUCAUUUAUAUUGCAAGCAAAAACUUUAAGGUCACAUUAUUUUGGGGUAAAUGUAAACACGACUUAUAUCAAAAAAUAUUUUGCUACACAGCGACUUUAUAUAGUUCGUUUACAUUUCCCCAGGUUUUUUUCUGGUAGAGUAAAUGUGUCAAGAGAUGCUUGUUUACAAUUACCCCUAAAGAGUAGGGGCAAAUGUAAACGGACAAGCAUGUUGAAUAUAUUUUUUUUAUCUUAAUGUGACUUGUAAUUACAGAAAACCACUAGUAAUUAUCAAAGAAGAUACUAUGAGCUAUGUGACUGCUAAUUUACAUAUAUACAUAAUGCGUGAUGUGCACAAAAAUCGUUUAGCAAGUCAAAACAUUAAAUAUUGUCCACAAUUGCCCCAAUUGACCCUAAUACAAAUAUGGCAAUUGAAAGCUUAAAUAAAGUUCUGAAGUACAACAAAAUGAAUGGAAAGCAGAAUAUUAGGAUUGAAAAACUGUUGGAUUUACUGGAUGAACUUGUUGAUGAAAGAAUGUGGAAAAGGAUUAUAAACAUGGAAAGGCCAAAUGCAAAUGAUUAUCAGUACACAAUAUGUCAGAGUGCACAUAAAAAAGCAGAAGAAAUGGUGGGUAAUAACGGUAAUGUAUCAUAUUCUGAAUUAGGACAUUUUAAGGUAAGGUCGUUUAGUGAAAAUCAUAAAUUGUAUUGUGUAAAUUAUAAUGAGAUUUGUGAUGAGGACUGUAGGGCAAUGUAUUGUGAGAAGUGUAAAAUAUGUAAACAUAAAUAUAAUUGUGAUUGUCCAGAAUAUACUGUUAAAAGUGUCAUGUGUUUCAUGGAUGAAAUGCAAGAAGAUAAUAAUCUGUAUGUCAAUGAACCUUCAACAAGCAAGACAGUUUAUGAGGAUGAAGUAAAUCAUUUUCUUGACGAGACUGAAAAUAGAAUGAAUGUGACAAUUGAUUUUGAAAGAAAGCGUGAGAUUUGUCUAGAACAGUUUUGCUCUGAAAUUCGUAAUUAUGGUGGUGGAUUGGGUGAACAUGAUUUAGAAAAAUUUAUGGGUGAUUUUAGAAAUUUUAUGCAGACAGUAAAACCAAAAGAAAUGGUGAUGAGUAAAAAAAGAAAAAUAGAAAAGCAGCAGUAUUAUCUCAACAAAAAACCUAAAUAAAUUUACUUAUAAUAAAAUGUUUAUAACUAUUUCAUUACUGAAUGACAUUGCUUUUGUGAGUGACCUAUUCUGGUAUUAUAUCUAAGUGGUGUUGGCUCUUUGUAUUCAUGUAAUUCGUUGGCUUAUGGUGAAGCAUACUUAUAAAAUAUAUUUUUUUAAUUUUAAUUUUGCCUUUGUUAUAAUUAACUAAUAUAUUAGUGUUUGUUUCAUA